rnacentral:rRNA from 1 species
UGUGAACUCGAAGAGUAGGGCGGGACACGUGGUAUCCUGUCUGAAUAUGGGGGGACCAUCCUCCAAGGCUAAAUACUCCUGACUGACCGAUAGUGAACCAGUACCGUGAGGGAAAGGCGAAAAGAACCCCGGCGAGGGGAGUGAAAAAGAACCUGAAACCGUGUACGUACAAGCAGUGGGAGCACCUUCGGGUGUGACUGCGUACCUUUUGUAUAAUGGGUCAGCGACUUAUAUUCUGUAGCAAGGUUAACCGUAUAGGGGAGCCGCAGGGAAACCGAGUCUUAACUGGGCGUUAAGUUGCAGGGUAUAGACCCGAAACCCGGUGAUCUAGCCAUGGGCAGGUUGAAGGUUGGGUAACACUAACUGGAGGACCGAACCGACUAAUGUUGAAAAAUUAGCGGAUGACUUGUGGCUGGGGGUGAAAGGCCAAUCAAACCGGGAGAUAGCUGGUUCUCCCCGAAAGCUAUUUAGGUAGCGCCUCGUGAAUUCAUCUUCGGGGGUAGAGCACUGUUUCGGCUAGGGGGUCAUCCCGACUUACCAACCCGAUGCAAACUACGAAUACCGAAGAAUGUUAUCACGGGAGACACACGGCGGGUGCUAACGUCCGUCGUGAAGAGGGAAACAACCCAGACCGCCAGCUAAGGUCCCAAAGUCAUGGUUAAGUGGGAAACGAUGUGGGAAGGCACAGACAGCCAGGAUGUUGGCUUAGAAGCAGCCAUCAUUUAAAGAAAGCGUAAUAGCUCACUGGUCGAGUCGGCCUGCGCGGAAGAUGUAACGGGGCUAAACCAUGCACCGAAGCUGCGGCAGCGACACUAUGUGUUGUUGGGUAGGGGAGCGUUCUGUAAGCCUGCGAAGGUGUGCUGUGAGGCAUGCUGGAGGUAUCAGAAGUGCGAAUGCUGACAUAAGUAACGAUAAAGCGGGUGAAAAGCCCGCUCGCCGGAAGACCAAGGGUUCCUGUCCAACGUUAAUCGGGGCAGGGUGAGUCGACCCCUAAGGCGAGGCCGAAAGGCGUAGUCGAUGGGAAACAGGUUAAUAUUCCUGUACUUGGUGUUACUGCGAAGGGGGGACGGAGAAGGCUAUGUUAGCCGGGCGACGGUUGUCCCGGUUUAAGCAUGUAGGCUGAUUGUCCAGGCAAAUCCGGAUAAUCAAGGCUGAGGUGUGAUGACGAGGCACUACGGUGCUGAAGUAACAAAUGCCCUGCUUCCAGGAAAAGCCUCUAAGCAUCAGGUAACAUCAAAUCGUACCCCAAACCGACACAGGUGGUCAGGUAGAGAAUACCAAGGCGCUUGAGAGAACUCGGGUGAAGGAACUAGGCAAAAUGGUGCCGUAACUUCGGGAGAAGGCACGCUGGUGUGUAGGUGAAGUCCCUGCGGAUGGAGCUGAGACCAGUCGAAGAUACCAGCUGGCUGCAACUGUUUAUUAAAAACACAGCACUGUGCAAACACGAAAGUGGACGUAUACGGUGUGACGCCUGCCCGGUGCCGGAAGGUUAAUUGAUGGGGUUAUCCGUAAGGAGAAGCUCUUGAUCGAAGCCCCGGUAAACGGCGGCCGUAACUAUAACGGUCCUAAGGUAGCGAAAUUCCUUGUCGGGUAAGUUCCGACCUGCACGAAUGGCGUAAUGAUGGCCAGGCUGUCUCCACCCGAGACUCAGUGAAAUUGAACUCGCUGUGAAGAUGCAGUGUACCCGCGGCAAGACGGAAAGACCCCGUGAACCUUUACUAUAGCUUGACACUGAACAUUGAGCCUUGAUGUGUAGGAUAGGUGGGAGGCUUUGAAGCGUGGACGCCAGUCUGCGUGGAGCCAACCUUGAAAUACCACCCUUUAAUGUUUGAUGUUCUAACGUUGGCCCCUUACCGGGGUUGCGGACAGUGUCUGGUGGGUAGUUUGACUGGGGCGGUCUCCUCCCAAAGCGUAACGGAGGAGCACGAAGGUUAGCUAAUCCUGGUCGGACAUCAGGAGGUUAGUGCAAUGGCAUAAGCUAGCUUGACUGCGAGCGUGACGGCGCGAGCAGGUGCGAAAGCAGGUCAUAGUGAUCCGGUGGUUCUGAAUGGAAGGGCCAUCGCUCAACGGAUAAAAGGUACUCCGGGGAUAACAGGCUGAUACCGCCCAAGAGUUCAUAUCGACGGCGGUGUUUGGCACCUCGAUGUCGGCUCAUCACAUCCUGGGGCUGAAGUAGGUCCCAAGGGUAUGGCUGUUCGCCAUUUAAAGUGGUACGCGAGCUGGGUUUAGAACGUCGUGAGACAGUUCGGUCCCUAUCUGCCGUGGGCGCUGGAGAAUUGAGGGGGGCUGCUCCUAGUACGAGAGGACCGGAGUGGACGCAUCACUGGUGUUCGGGUUGUCAUGCCAAUGGCACUGCCCGGUAGCUAAAUGCGGAAGAGAUAAGUGCUGAAAGCAUCUAAGCACGAAACUUGCCCCGAGAUGAGUUCUCCCUGAGACUUUAAGUCUCCUGAAGGAACGUU